GAUUUCUAUCAGGAAGAAAAAUAUCCACAGAUUAUAAAUGCCUUGCUCUGAAAAUUGUUAGCAACUGCAUGUAAUCUGAAUUUUUAUCCUGCAAAGGAUUCUUCUCAUAGACUGCCAUUCUUUUCAGAGGCAAUCAGUAGAAUGAAAAGGGCCGAAGGGGAGUUAUUCACUCGAUUUCUGAUGGCAAGGUGAUAGUAACACAGGUUGGUUUACCUGAGCCAGCAAAUGUAGUUCUCCAUAACUGGAAACUAAAUACAAGGU